CCUGACACAGGGAGGUAGUGACAAGAAAUAACAAUACGGGGCUUAAUGUCUUGUAAUUGGAAUGAUGGGAAUUUAAACCUCUUCCAGAGUAUCAAUUGGAGGGCAAGUCUGGUGCCAGCAGCCGCGGUAAUUCCAGCUCCAAUAGCGUAUAUUAAAAUUGUUGCAGUUAAAAAGCUCGUAGUUGAAUUUCUGCUGCAUUUCAUUUCUCU
rnacentral:rRNA from 1 species